UACAGAGGUGGCUAGCGUUGUUCGGAUUCAUUGGGCGUAAAGGGUCCGUAGGCGGCCUGAAAAGUCGGGUGUGAAAUCCUACAGCUUAACUGUAGAACUGCACUCGAAACUUUCGGGCUAGAGUACGAGAGGGGUCAAGGGAAUUCCCGGUGUAAGGGUGAAAUCUGCAGAGAUCGGGAGGAACACCAGUCGCGAAGGCGCUUGACUGGCUCGUUACUGACGCUGAGGGACGAAAGCUAGGGGAGCAAACGGG
rnacentral:rRNA from 1 species